AAGCUUGCUUUCCUUGAUGACGACUGGCGCACGGGUGAGUAGCGCGUAUCCAACCUUCCCAUAACUACGGGAUAACCCGUUGAAAGACGGCCUAAUACCGUAUGACAUCGUUUGCUGACAUCAAAUAACGAUUAAAGGUUUAGCGGUUAUGGAUGGGGAUGCGUCUGAUUAGCUUGUUGGCGGGGUAACGGCCCACCAAGGCGACGAUCAGUAGGGGUUCUGAGAGGAAGGUCCCCCACAUUGGAACUGAGACACGGUCCAAACUCCUACGGGAGGCAGCAGUGAGGAAUAUUGGUCAAUGGGCGAGAGCCUGAACCAGCCAAGUAGCGUGCAGGAUGACGGCCCUAUGGGUUGUAAACUGCUUUUAUGUGGGGAUAAAGUGCGUGACGUGUCAUGCAUUGCAGGUACCACAUGAAUAAGGACCGGCUAAUUCCGUGCCAGCAGCCGCGGUAAUACGGAAGGUCCGGGCGUUAUCCGGAUUUAUUGGGUUUAAAGGGAGCGUAGGCUGUCUAUUAAGCGUGUUGUGAAAUUUACCGGCUCAACCGGUGGCUUGCAGCGCGAACUGGUCGACUUGAGUAUGCAGGAAGUAGGCGGAAUUCAUGGUGUAGCGGUGAAAUG
rnacentral:rRNA from 1 species